CGCAGAACAAAUUAUUUUGCCUCGUGUUGUGAUGAAUUCAUCCUCCGUUAAACCUAAUUGUGUGUAAUUUUCUGUUGUAACGUAUCUUUUCUCUUUUUCAGAUGAUACUAUUUUGAAGCAGAAGAUGCAUGGAUCGUCUUUUGGUCGUACACGCUCCAUUUUUAAGCUAGAAAUAAAUAUUUGAAAUUCGUAUAAAUCAUGCUCUGUUGAAAUAAACUCGAAACAAUAUUUUGUAUUAUUAUGGAAAAACGAUUAUAUAGAUACAAGUCAUAAAUUUAUAUAGAUGUAUUUUAAAAUUGCAAUUUGUAAAAAUAAAAAAUCC